rnacentral:rRNA from 1 species
GAUGAACGCUAGCUACAGGCUUAACACAUGCAAGUCGCGGGGUAACAUUGAUCUAGCUUGCUAGAUCAGAUGACGACCGGCGCACGGGUGAGUAACGCGUAUCCAACCUGCCUUUUACCACGGGAUAGCCCCUCGAAAGAGGGAGUAAUACCGUAUGAGGUCACGUGACGACAUCAGACCGUGACGAAAGGAUUAGCGGUAAAAGAUGGGGAUGCGUCUGAUUAGGCAGUUGGCGGGGUAACGGCCCACCAAACCGACGAUCAGUAGGGGUUCUGAGAGGAAGGUCCCCCACAUUGGAACUGAGACACGGUCCAAACUCCUACGGGAGGCAGCAGUGAGGAAUAUUGGUCAAUGGUCGCAAGACUGAACCAGCCAAGUAGCGUGAGGGAAGACUGCCCUAUGGGUUGUAAACCUCUUUUAUCUGGGGAUAAAGUGAGCCACGAGUGGCUUAUUGCAGGUACCAGAAGAAUAAGGACCGGCUAAUUCCGUGCCAGCAGCCGCGGU